AUUGAACGCUGGCGGCAGGCUUAACACAUGCAAGUCGAGCGGAGUGAUGGUGCUUGCACUAUCACUUAGCGGCGGACGGGUGAGUAAUGCUUAGGAAUCUGCCUAUUAGUGGGGGACAACAUCUCGAAAGGGAUGCUAAUACCGCAUACGUCCUACGGGAGAAAGCAGGGGAUCACUUGUGACCUUGCGCUAAUAGAUGAGCCUAAGUCGGAUUAGCUAGAUGGUGGGGUAAAGGCCUACCUAGGCGACGAUCUGUAGCGGGUCUGAGAGGAUGAUCCGCCACACUGGGACUGAGACACGGCCCAGACUCCUACGGGAGGCAGCAGUGGGGAAUAUUGGACAAUGGGGGGAACCCUGAUCCAGCCAUGCCGCGUGUGUGAAGAAGGCCUUAUGGUUGUAAAGCACUUUAGGCGAGGAGGAGGCUCUUUUGGUUAAUACCCAAGAUGAGUGGACGUUACUCGCAGAAUAAGCACCGGCUAACUCUGUGCCAGCAGCCGCAGUAA
rnacentral:rRNA from 1 species